rnacentral:rRNA from 1 species
GACGAACCGUGCGAACGUUGUUCGGAAUCACUGGGCUUAAAGGGCGCGUAGGCGGGCCUCAUAGUCAGGGGUGAAAUCCCACGGCUCAACCGUGGAAGUGCCUCUGAUACUGGGCCUCGAGGAGGUGAGGGCGUGCGGAACUUCCGGUGGAGCGGUGAAAUGCGUAGAUAUCGGAAGGAACGACCGGUGGCGAAGGCGGGAUCCUGGGCCAGUACUGACGCUGAGGAGCGAAAGCGUGG